ACAGGCCACACCCGGCCGUGUUUACGCUGACACGCCGGCAUACACGGGCAUAGAACCACUGCCUUUGCUCGCCCUACCAUCAGAUAGGCCCCCCUCCUCCCCCCGAUCCCGCACCCACCCACACACCCCCACACCCACACACCCACACACCCACACACCCACACACCCACACACCCACACACCCACACACCCACACACCCACACACCCACACACCCACACACCCACACACCCACACACCCACACACCCACACACCCACACACCCACACACCCACACACCCACACACCCACACACCCACACACCCACACACCCACACACCCACACACCCACACACCCACACACCCACACAUCCAUCGCUUCGCUCUCUCGCUGUCCCUCUUCGUGUGCGCAACUCGACGGCCGCCAGCCCGAGGAAAUGAACGUUUUCCACUUUGCAAGCAGCCAGCGCUACCGAUCGCGGCUACCGCUGAGGCAACUGACGUUCACGGUGGCCGUCUACCGGGCCAUCGUUGUGGAGGAGGAUAAAGCGGAGUUGCUCGUGGAGGCAACGGUGGCGUGGGACGGCAAGGUGCUCUCUCCCGCGGAGACGCUUAGUAUAUACAAGGAUGUGACGCAUCUAUCGCGGAGGGAGGCGGCGGGAACGGCCCCAUAUAGCGACAAGUCGGGUGGUCAGAGGGGUGCGUCUGCCCCUGGCUCCCUUCUGCCCAACAUUUCGUCUCUCCCGGCGCUGUCGGACGUCAUCGCGCGGAUCAGCAGGCUGCCGUUUUUCUUCUUCACCCGCCCCUCGCUGGAAGACUUCAUCAACCAGGCUGAGGAGGACGUCCCGGUGGACCCGUCGCCGGGUCCCAGCCUCUUGGCACCCAUCGUAUUGCGCCAGCACCGACGUGAUCACCAGCCCAACCGUUGCAUGUUUCUUAUGUGGGCUGCCGGUGAGCUGCUGGUGCGCGGCCGACCUCCCGGCACCGCGUCACCUGGACCCGUCGGGGGGGCCGAUGGUGUCGCCGACGGUGACGGCGCCGACGGAGGAUCGCACGCGGCAGCUUCGCUGAGAGCGCACCCCACCACCAGCGCGACUCUCUCGCCACUUUCCGCUGCUGGUGCCGCUGCGGAGGCGGAGUCAUCGAUCAACAUUGACGACGUCACGUGGAGCGGCACCGAGCGCGUGCUGUGCACCCUCACUGCCGAACAAGACGAGUACUUCUUUACAGCAAAGCCGAGUCUCAACAAGCUGCACACACUGUUUGUCGACGCCGCGUACAUCUACACGUUUCGCGUAACGGUGUCGCGCGCGGGUGCACCAGUCGGGCAGCGAGAACCAUGGGCCGGGGGUGGGACGCGGCAGGGCAUCCCGGCCGACGGUUGUCUCCUGCCUUCCUCGAUCGCCCCUCUGGAGGUGCUGCUGGCCAAUGCAAGUGACCUAGCUCAGUCCGUGGCAGAGCAGUACGAGUCGCUCGAGGUCGGCAAAGUUGCGGUGGCGCGCCGACUGCUGCGGCAGGUGGCGAUGAUGGCGCCACUGGAACGUGCCGGUACCGACGGUGGUGCCGCGGCGGCAGCAGCAGCAUCGGUGCCAUCAUCAUCGGAGGUUGCUCGACGGCGUCGCGGACAGGGAGCGCUUGGCCCCGGCAUGCCGUUUUCUGCCGCCGCCGAUCGCACUGGAGUCAGGGGCACCAUGGGCACCUUGACAUCGUCGUCUAGGUCGCAGCGUGCGGCCAGCUUUGGAGCCGCGCUCCUCUCACCAGCCGGUUUCAAGCGCAGCGCCUCCUCGCUGCCGCGUGACUCCUGCCAGUACCAUGUAUUCGGCACAGUUGACCGUUGCGUCGGCAUCGCGGAGUGGACGCUGUUUGUACGUUGCCAACUUGUCGAGGAUGAGGCUGUUACCCCCUCGAUGCACGACCCGCUCCCCACGUCGUCGUCUUCCUCAUCUGACGUGUACGAGUUCAUCUCUCAGCUCGCCCACGCUAGCAUGUUCGUGGAGGGCGAGUUCCUGUUAGACGUGGACCACGUCUUCAACUUGCCCUUUGACCGCUCCUUUGUUGGCCCCGCACUGCCCAGCAGCCCGCUGCGACUCAUCGCGACUGCCUUUACUGAGGGUGCCGCAACGGAGGGGUUGCAGGCGCCCGUCGCGUACGCCUGCGUGUCGCUCCCCAUCGCCAGUCCCGGCCACCACACAGUCACAGCGCCGAUGUGGGCACCGCACAAGACCGGCGUCGAGUUUCUUCGCUCCACACUGGUUGGUGGUGCACCUGGGCUGGUGGAUGCACGGCAGGCGGGCCCUGCCCUGGCACACCGCACGGGGCUUAACGUGAAGGAGGGCCUCUACGCCGACAGCGUUGGCACGCUGCACAUCACGGUGAACAUAAUCCACCACAAACACUGGGACAGCCACUAAGAGACGCAGCAACGCGUUCUGGCCGUGUGGUGACGCAUGGCGGGGCUCCAACAACUGCCGCUGCUGCCUGCCAUGUAGAGCAAGCCCCUCUGCGCGCGCGUGUGUGUGUUUCUGUGCGUACUCAUAGACCACUUUGCAGCUGCAGCGUUGUACUGUAUACGGCGACAUAGACGCGCACAAAUAACGGAGUAUCGCCGAACACCACUGGCAGACCGAAGAGACAAGAGGGGGGGGGGUGGACGAAAAGGGAGGGAGGGGGGCCAUUUCAUGUGCGUGCGUAUAUGAGCGACUCACCCCUGCACGUUGCGAUGGGUGUGUGUGUGUGGGGGGGUGAGGAGAGGAGAUAUGCAAGCACGACAGAUGGAGCUCUUCCCAUGCACGCCCUGUCCCGCUCCUCUCCUUUUCUCUUUGUAACGCAGCGACGCGCACUGAACCAUCGAGGAGAUGGGAUGGAAGUCAUGCCAUGCGUAGCGCCGGUGUGUUACUGGUCCCUUGAACCACACGUGAUGCAUCUUCUCUGCCGCACUUUCCUUUCGCUCUUUUCCACUUCGUUUUCUGUUCUCCUCCUCGUGGCUGUUGGCGGUACGGGCAUGUCUGUGGUCGCCGUGAUGCUGCCGUCAUACGCGCGUGUAUAUGCGAGUCGUGCUGUGCCACGGAUUACUCGCCCCCCCCCCCCCCUCCUCUGCAAG
rnacentral:misc_RNA from 1 species